rnacentral:rRNA from 1 species
GACGAACGCUGGCGGCGUGCUUAACACAUGCAAGUCGAACGGAAAGGCCCUGCUUUUGUGGGGUGCUCGAGUGGCGAACGGGUGAGUAACACGUGAGUAACCUGCCCUUGACUUUGGGAUAACUUCAGGAAACUGGGGCUAAUACCGGAUAGGAGCUCCUGCUGCAUGGUGGGGGUUGGAAAGUUUCGGCGGUUGGGGAUGGACUCGCGGCUUAUCAGCUUGUUGGUGGGGUAGUGGCUUACCAAGGCUUUGACGGGUAGCCGGCCUGAGAGGGUGACCGGCGACAUUGGGACUGCGAUACGGCGCAGACUGCUACGGGAGGCAGCAGUGGGGAAUAUUGCACAAUGGGCGGAAGCCUGAUGCAGCAGCGCCGCGUGCGGGAUGACGGCCUUCGGGUUGUAAACCGCUUUAGCCUGUGACGAAGCGUGAGUGACGGUAAUGGGUAAAGAAGCACCGGCUAACUACGUG